rnacentral:rRNA from 1 species
UACGUAGGUGGCAAGCGUUGUCCGGAUUUAUUGGGUUUAAAGGGCGCGUAGGCGGUUCGUUAAGUCCUGUGUGAAAUCCCCCGGCUCAACUGGGGAACUGCACAGGAAACUAGCGGGCUUGAGUUCGGGAGAGGGAAGCGGAAUUCCGGGUGUAGCGGUGAAAUGCGUAGAUAUCCGGAGGAACACCGGUGGCGAAGGCGGCUUCCUGGACCGACACUGACGCUGAGGCGCGAAAGCUAGGGGAGCAAACGGG